rnacentral:ncRNA from 1 species
AUUAUCAAGAGCGGUGGAGGGACUGGCCCGAUGAAGCCCGACAACCUGCGCUUUUCAACCGGCGCAAGGUGUUAAAUCCUGCGGACGCCCCGAAAGGGGAUUCCGAAAGAUAAGA